rnacentral:rRNA from 1 species
UACAGAGGGUGCAAGCGUUGUUCGGAAUUAUUGGGCGUAAAGGGUGCGUAGGUGGCGCGUUAAGUCCGUUGUGAAAGCCCUGGGCUCAACCCAGGAACUGCUUCGGAUACUGGCGCGCUUGAGGCUAGUAGAGGUCACUGGAACUGACGGUGGAGCGGUGAAAUGCGUAGAUAUCGUCAGGAACGCCAAUGGUGAAGACAGGUGACUGGGCUAGUUCUGACACUGAGGCACGAAAGCGUGGGGAGCGAACGGG